rnacentral:rRNA from 1 species
UACGUGGGUGGCAAGCGUUGUCCGGAAUUACUGGGUGUAAAGCGCGUGUAGGCGGGAGGCCAAGUCUGCUGUGAAAUCGCCCGGCUCAACUGGGCGGGGUCGGUGGAAACUGGUCACCUGGAGGACGGUAGAGGCGAGUGGAAUUCCCGGUGUAGUGGUGAAAUGCGUAGAGAUCGCUUGGAACGCCGACGGUGAAAACAGCUCGCUGGGGGCCUUCUGACGCUGAGACACGAAAGCCAGGGGAGCGAACGGG